rnacentral:rRNA from 1 species
AUACAUGCAGUCGAGCGGACAGAUGGGAGCUUGCUCCCUGAUGUUAGCGGCGGACGGGUGAGUAACACGUGGGUAACCUGCCUGUAAGACUGGGAUAACUCCGGGAAACCGGGGCUAAUACCGGAUGCUUGUUUGAACCGCAUGGUUCAGACAUAAAAGGUGGCUUCGGCUACCACUUACAGAUGGACCCGCGGCGCAUUAGCUAGUUGGUGAGGUAACGGCUCACCAAGGCGACGAUGCGUAGCCGACCUGAGAGGGUGAUCGGCCACACUGGGACUGAGACACGGCCCAGACUCCUACGGGAGGCAGCAGUAGGGAAUCUUCCGCAAUGGACGAAAGUCUGACGGAGCAACGCCGCGUGAGUGAUGAAGGUUUUCGGAUCGUAAAUCUCUGUUGUUAGGGAAGAACAAGUGCCGUUCAAAUAGGGCGGCACCUUGACGGUACCUAACCAGAAAGCCACGGCUAACUACGUGCCAGCAGCCGCGGUAAUACGUAGGUGGCAAGCGUUGUCCAGAAUUAUUGGGCGUAGAGGGCUCGGAGGCGGCUUCUUAAUUCUGAUGUGAAACCCCCCGGCUCCACCGGGGAGGGUCAUUGGAAACUGGGGAACUUGAGUGCAGAAGAGGAGAG